CCCGUCCCACAGGGCGACGCGGCCGGUCCCGGCGCCCGCGGCGAGCCGGGUGCCGUCGGUGCCGAAGGCGAGGGCGGUGACCUCCUCGCCGAGGACGAGG
rnacentral:tRNA from 1 species